GGUGAACGCUGGCGGCAGGCUUAACACAUGCAAGUCGAGCGGGCAUAGCAAUAUGUCAGCGGCAGACGGGUGAGUAACGCGUGGGAACGUACCUUUUGGUUCGGAACAACUGAGGGAAACUUCAGCUAAUACCGGAUAAGCCCUUACGGGGAAAGAUUUAUCGCCGAAAGAUCGGCCCGCGUCUGAUUAGCUAGUUGGUGAGGUAAUGGCUCACCAAGGCGACGAUCAGUAGCUGGUCUGAGAGGAUGAUCAGCCACAUUGGGACUGAGACACGGCCCAAACUCCUACGGGAGGCAGCAGUGGGGAAUAUUGGACAAUGGGCGCAAGCCUGAUCCAGCCAUGCCGCGUGAGUGAUGAAGGCCCUAGGGUUGUAAAGCUCUUUUGUGCGGGAAGAUAAUGACGGUACCGCAAGAAUAAGCCCCGGCUAACUUCGUGCCAGCAGCCGCGGUAA
rnacentral:rRNA from 1 species